AGAGUUUGAUCAUGGCUCAGAUUGAACGCUGGCGGCAGGCCUAACACAUGCAAGUCGAGCGGCAGCGACAACAUUGAACCUUCGGGGGAUUUUGUUGGGCGGCGAGCGGCGGACGGGUGAGUAAUGCUUGGGAAUAUGCCUUAUGGUGGGGGACAACAGUUGGAAACGACUGCUAAUACCGCAUAACGUCUACGGACCAAAGGGGGGGAUCUUCGGACCUCGCGCUAUUAGAUGAGCCUGCGUUGGAUUAGCUUGUUGGUGGGGUAAAGGCCUACCAAGGCGACGAUCCAUAGCUGGUCUGAGAGGACGAUCAGCCACACUGGGACUGAGACACGGCCCAGACUCCUACGGGAGGCAGCAGUGGGGAAUAUUGCGCAAUGGGGGAAACCCUGACGCAGCCAUACCGCGUGUGUGAAGAAGGCCUUAGGGUUGUAAAGCACUUUCAGCGAGGAGGAAAGGUUGGCGCUUAAUACGCGUCAGCUGUGACGUUACUCGCAGAAGAAGUACCGGCUAACUCCGUGCCAGCAGCCGCGGUAAUACGGAGGGUGUAAGCGUUAAUCGGAAUUACUGGGCGUAAAGCGCGCGUAGGUGGUCAAGUCAGUCAACUGUGAAAGCCCUGGGCUCAACCUGGGAACCUGCAUACCAAACUGCGCAACUAGAGUACGCUAGAGGGGGGUAGAAUUUCAGGUGUAGCGGUGAAAUGCGUAGAGAUCUGAAGGAAUACCGGUGGCGAAGGCGGCCCCCUGGAUUGAUACUGACACUGAGGUGCGAAAGCGUGGGUAGCAAACAGGAUUAGAUACCCUGGUAGUCCACGCCGUAAACGAUGUCUAUGUCUACUAGCCGUUGGAAUCCUUAGAGGUUUUAGUGGCGCAGCUAACGCAAUAAGUAGACCGCCUGGGGAGUACGGCCGCAAGGCUAAAACUCAAAUGAAUUGACGGGGGCCCGCACAAGCGGUGGAGCAUGUGGUUUAAUUCGAUGCAACGCGAAGAACCUUACCUACACUUGACAUGCAGAGAACUUUCCAGAGAUGGAUUGGUGCCUUCGGGAACUCUGACACAGGUGCUGCAUGGCUGUCGUCAGCUCGUGUCGUGAGAUGUUGGGUUAAGUCCCGCAACGAGCGCAACCCUUGUCCUUAGUUGCCAGCAUUUUAGUUGGGCACUCUAAGGAGACUGCCGGUGAUAAACCGGAGGAAGGGGGGGACGACGUCAAGUCAUCAUGGCCCUUAUGGGUAGGGCUACACACGUGCUACAAUGGCCGGUACAGAGGGCUGCGAACUCGCGAGAGUAAGCCAAUCCCUUAAAGCCGGUCCUAGUCCGGAUUGCAGAGGCUGCAACUCGACUGCAUGAAGCUGGAAUCGCUAGUAAUCGCGGAUCAGAAUGCCGCGGUGAAUUCGUUCCCGGGCCUUGUACACACCGCCCGUCACACCAU
rnacentral:rRNA from 1 species